UAAAAGUAGUCAUUAUUAUCCAUCAAGUGAAUCACUUUCUUUCUCUUCAAGAGAAAAUUCCGUUGCUCACAGUUGCCUUUGAAGAACUUGAUUUAAUCUUCAGGAAGCAUAGAACCAAAUUGCUGGUGACUAGCCCUGGAAUUCAUUCAAUCUUGUUCGGAAAUUGCAACUUAUCCGAAAUCAUCCGAAACACUUUUAAUAAAGGGAGUUUUUUUCUUUUCUUUUCAGAAGUUUCCUGGCAACUUCAUGGUGGGUGAGGAUGUCUGUGAACAGACCAUUUAUUCAAGCAUCAACGAUAGUACACAGAGAAAAAAUAAAUUGUGUUUCUGAAAAUUUGGCACUUUCAUUUUGACAUUAUAGCAAUUUUGAUUUGGCAACGCUGGCAACUUAUCUUCAAAUAUCUGGCAACUGACGUAUGUUUUAUUUAACAUUUGUCGGCGGGAAAAAUAUGUUGUACGGAAAGUGAAAUUUAUUUAUAAAGUUCAGCAAAUGUAAGACUCCGGAAUUUUCGUGAUUUCAGCCACGAGAAUGCUGUUCACGGUUGCUCAGCAGACCCCUCCUCAAUCCGGAGUUUUUGCCUCCAAAAAGGUAGCUCCUAAACGUGAAGCGCAGCCGUCACUACACCGUCCAGGUCAAUUGGAACCGAAAAAUCAGCACCGCCAAAGGAAACACCAUAAUUAUCGACGGUAUUCCGCACAACACAUAUGCCUCAAAAUGCUCCUCUACGCACCACCAUAAACAACGAGCAUUUAUCGACGGAAAUUAACAGCCGUCGCAUGAGUUCGUCUGCACUGGCCCUGAUGUCCUCAAAGACCAUCAAUUCUCCGCUCACCUUCCAAUCUUUACCCAGUACAAGGAGGAUCCAGUUCGAACAGCAGCAGAAAUGACAACUGCUGGCGGAACUCCAGGAAUUUGGAUAAUGCUAAUACACCGUUAAUCGAACCCUUUCGACUGAGGCGGAACAAUUUGUCUGGUUCCUCUAGCUUUUAUAAAUAACAUAUUGUGAUUUGUUUGUUUGUCUAAAACCCCAAAGUGAAUAAAAUAAGAUAAUAAAAUAAAAA